rnacentral:rRNA from 1 species
GGGUUCGAUCAUACCAAGACUAAUGCACCGGAUCCCAUCGGAACUCUGAAGUUAAGCACGCUUGGGUGAGAAUAGUACAAAGAUGGCCUAUCACAUGACUUUCACAUACAUAGGCU